rnacentral:tRNA from 1 species
UGCAGAAUAGUGUAAGGAGCACGUAAGCCUUUGAAGCUAACAGAUUGGGUUCAAUUCCUAAUUCUACAA